rnacentral:rRNA from 1 species
CCUACGGGUGGCAGCAGUGGGGAAUAUUGGGCAAUGGGCGCAAGCCUGACGCAGCAACGCCGCGUGAGGGAUGAAGGCUUUCGGGUUGUAAACUUCUUUUAUCAGGGACGAAGCAAGUGACGGUUCAUGAUGAAUAAGUCACGGCUACCUACGUGCGAGCAGCCGCCGUACUACGUAGGUGGCAAGCGUUAUACGGAUUUACUGGGUGUAAAGGGCGUGUAGGCGGGAGGUAAAGUCAGAGGUGACAACUAUGGGCUCAACCCAUAGCCUGCAUUUGAAACUGUACUUCUGGAGUGCUGGAGAGGCAAUCGGAAUUCCGGGUGGAGCGGUGAAAUGCGUAGAUAUACGGAGGAACACCAGUGGCGAAGGCGGAUUGCUGGACAGUAACUGACGCUGAGGCGCGAAAGCGUGGGUAGCAAACAGGAUUAGAUACCCGUGUAGUC